GGGUUUUUGUUUAGAUAUAUAUAUAUAUAUAUUUACUUUUAUGUGGUGUUUUAAAAUGGAAUUUCUUUUGACUUAGAUAGCAAAGGAAGAGAAUUGUUGAAACAUGGUAGGUCUGGUGCACUUCUUUUUAGUAGUAGCUUGAAAAAAGAAAAUCUUACUUUUGUUUUUAUUUUUUAUUUUUUUGGUCUAGCCUUUUUUUUUUUUUUUUGGUUGCAUCGGAAGAAAAAAGAGAAAAGGAUUCAUCAUAAGGAUUUCUGAAGGGAGAGAUGGGUUUCAUUGCAGACUGCAAGAGAAAUUGCAGGAGGCAGUGACUUUAGUGGGUUUGUUUUUCAUCAUCAUUUCUACUAUUUUUUUUCUUUUUCUUUUUCAAGCUCUUGUAGCACUGGGUUUUGUAUCAGAGGUGCUUAGGAGAGUGUGAAAUGAUAUUAUUAUUAUUAUUUUUUUUUCUGUUGUCUUUUGAUCCUUCUAUGUCCUGCUAUCUGGUGACAAGAACUUAUCUGUGAGUUGUAAUAAUCACAACUUGUGAAGAGGGAAGAAGAAAGAAAGAAAGAAAAGGAAAAAAAAUAAAAAUCUGAGGCCCACCCCUUCAUAGCCAUCAAUACCCUAUCUUGAUCUUAAAAAUACCCAUUUGGGUUCCCACCAAAACCCAAGAGUCUCACUCAUCCAACCUCACCACUCCAUAUCUAAUGAUGAAAGGCUUGGUAAUCCAACAACACCCAGUUGUUGAAGAGAACAUGUCCAAUUUGACAUCUGCAUCAGGCGAGGCUAGCGUUUCUUCAGGCAACAGAGCUGAAAAUGGCAGCAUCUACCCUCAGUCCUUCCCCUCUCCAACUCCACCUCCACCAAAGAAGAAGAGAAACCUUCCAGGAAAUCCAGACCCAGAUGCUGAAGUGAUUGCUUUAUCUCCCAAGACUCUGAUGGCUACAAACCGGUUUGUUUGUGAGAUCUGCAACAAGGGGUUUCAGAGAGACCAGAACCUUCAGCUACAUAGGAGAGGGCACAACCUGCCAUGGAAACUGAGGCAGAGAACAAGCAAGGAGGUGAGGAAGAGGGUGUACAUAUGCCCAGAAACUUCAUGUGUGCACCAUGACCCAUCAAGGGCACUUGGGGACCUCACAGGCAUCAAGAAGCACUUCUGUAGGAAGCAUGGUGAGAAGAAGUGGAAAUGUGACAAGUGCUCCAAGCGUUAUGCUGUUCAAUCUGAUUGGAAGGCUCAUUCAAAGACCUGUGGCACCAGGGAGUACAGAUGUGACUGUGGAACCCUCUUCUCAAGGAGGGAUAGUUUCAUCACUCACAGAGCUUUCUGUGAUGCAUUGGCAGAAGAGAGUGCAAGAGCAAUCACAGCAAACCCUCUCACAAGCAACCCUCUUCUAUCCACUCAAGCUAGCAAUUCCACACCACAUGGUCCCGCUACACAUAUAAACCUACAAGCCCAAUUCCCCCACAUCCUAAGAAGCACAGAAAACAGCAGCAGCAGCAGCAACAUCGACCUUCAAUCACUGCCAUUGAAAAGAGACCAAGAACAGCAUUUCAACAUGAGGACAGAUCUACCACCAUGGCUAGCUUGUUCUCCUGUAGUGGGCGCUGGUCCUGGUCCACCUUCACAGCCACCUACUUCGUUAAAUCAUCUGGACCUUCCAUCUUCAAUCUUCUCUACAAGGUUAGAACAUGAAUUCUCACAGUCACAACAAGCUCCAAUGGCACAUGAAAAUCCUCCUUCCUUCCAUUCAUCUGCCUCUCCACACAUGUCUGCAACUGCCUUGCUGCAAAAAGCAGCUCAAAUGGGUGCAACCAUGAGCAAGCUUUCUUCUUCCACCUCGAUGCUCAGACCCCAUCAAGGUCACAUGACUGCAAAUGCCACUGCUAGUGCUGCUACUACACCUGGUUUUGGUCUGGGCCUGUCCUCGCAUGAAGAGAUGGAAAACAGCUUUGUUCAAGGACUGACUACUUUUGGAAAUAAAGCUGCUGAUCUUUUGGACCACACAACUACAUCAGCUGCUGCAGCAGUAGCAAGUCCUUCCCUACUCCAAAACAUGAUGACUUCCCUUUCUUCAGCUGCUGGUUUUGAAGGGUCUUUUGAAGAGGCCUUCGGGGGGCUGUUUGGGUCAAAGAGAGAAGGAAAUACAUCUGAAAAUCAUGCAAAAUCCCAUCAAAGAAAUGAGGAAGGAGGAAGUAAUGGUGGCCAAAAUGAUGGUUUGACUAGAGACUUCUUGGGUCUUAGAGCCUUCUCUCAUAGGGAUAUUCUCAACAUGGCUGGUCUAGACCCUCGCAUGAAUUCCUCUUCAUAUGAGCAGGCACAAAAUCAAAAGCCAUGGCAAGGUUAGCUUGAAUAAAACUGGUAUCAUUGGAAAAGUGCAAUGGGUUUAUCCCUUCAUGAGAGAAUGAAGAAAAUGCCAAAAGAUCAAUACGUUACACAUGGAAUGCUCGAAGACGGAUGAUGGCAUAUGUGGGUGAUUAAGCUUAGCUUAGUGGGGGUGCUUCACAUCACAUAAAGCACAUUAGAGACAUGUGGGCACUUGAAGGUAGAUGGUGGCACAUGUGCAAAGGUACAUUACAUAUGUGGUAUACUGUCAUAUCUAUAUCACAUAUAAGGCAAUUGAAGAAGGACAUUGACAUAUGUGGGUGCUUUGCACAUGUGGGGUACAAGGAAAGGAUGGAUGGUGGCAUAUGUAAUACAUUUGAGGUGCUUUCUACAUGUGAGGCCAAGUGAAGAUGAAUGGUGGGACAUGUGUGAAGCAACAAAAGAUAGACAACGAAAAGUUAGCAUGUGCAGCAUAUUUGAGGGGCUUUGUACAUUUAGGGGUUCAAGUGAAGAUGGAUGGGAGCACAUGCGGGGCAUUGACAUGCAAGCAUAGUGGCACAUGUAUGACACAAUAAAAGAUGGAUGGUGGAACAUUUGCAUAUAUGCCAUACGCGCUAUAUGUGCGGUGAUUGGAGAUGGAUGAUGGUAUAUGUGUUUAGUUAUAGAGAAAUUUAUUUUUCUUCAA